GGUUGUGAUCAUAGCAGCACUAAUGCACCGGAUCCCAUCAGAACUACGCAGUUAAGCGUGCUUGAGCGAGAGUAGUUCUAGGAUGGGUGACCCCCUGGGAAGUCCUCGUGUUGCAACCCC
rnacentral:rRNA from 1 species